GACGAACGCUGGCGGCGUGCUUAACACAUGCAAGUCGAACGAUGAAGCCGGAGCUUGCUCUGGUGAAUUAGUGGCGAACGGGUGAGUAACACGUGGGCAACCUGCCCCUCACUUCGGGAUAACUCCGGGAAACCGGGGCUAAUACCGGAUAUGACCUCCUUGGGCAUCCUUGGAGGUGGAAAGUUUUUCGGUGAGGGAUGGGCCCGCGGCCUAUCAGCUUGUUGGUGAGGUAGUGGCUCACCAAGGCGACGACGGGUAGCCGGCCUGAGAGGGCGACCGGCCACACUGGGGCUGAGACACGGCCCAGACUCCUACGGGAGGCAGCAGUGGGGAAUAUUGCGCAAUGGGCGAAAGCCUGACGCAGCAACGCCGCGUGCGGGAUGACGGCCUUCGGGUUGUAAACCGCUUUCAGCAGGGAAGAAGCCGCAAGGUGACGGUACCUGCAGAAGAAGCACCGGCUAACUACGUGCCAGCCGCCGCGGUAA
rnacentral:rRNA from 1 species